rnacentral:lncRNA from 1 species
CAUUAACUUUGACGGGAAAAAAGUUGAUUAAAAUUUUUAUCGGAUCUUUAUAUAAAGUUAAAAGAGUGUUUUAAGUUGUUCAGAUUUUAUAAAAAACAAAUAUCACGUCAGAUUUUCUGCGAUCAAAGUCAAAUGUUCAACAAUAUGGAACUAAAACAGCUAAUACAACCGGGAAAAAAAUUUAUUCAAGCAGGCAGAUUUGACUUGUGAUAGAAAUAAUCUUUUACAUCUUUCAGAUAGAUCGGACGAAGAAGUUUGUGAAAUGGACAUGAUACUAUGUGUU